ensembl:rRNA 5S_rRNA 5S ribosomal RNA
GCUUACGGCCAUACCACUCUGACAAAGCCUGAUCUCAUCUGACCUCGGAAGCAAAGCAGAGUUGGGCCUGGUUAGUACUAGGUUGGGAGACUGAAGGGGAAUACUAGGUGCUGUAAGCU